rnacentral:lncRNA from 1 species
UGGCAAUGUGUCAAAAUUCGGAGGAGGUGUUUGGCAGGUACUCCAGGAGAAUGUCAAAGGUUGAAAACAUUGAAACAACUUACUGGUGGAGAAUACUCUACUCUUCAAAGGAGUGCCAUAGCUGCAAAUACCAUGUACUACUGAGGCAUACUGUAGGAAACAUUUUGACCAGUUGCCUGGGAAACAACAUCAAGAACAACCUAAAGACUUCAUCACAAAUGAAUUAAUCUACUUAACUAUUUCAUUUUAUCAGUGAUAUGGAUUUGGAGUUGGUAAAGAGAAAUUGUGAGACAUUGAUAUCAGACCUUGGGGCUUCCAUAUGCAUGAGAAUUAAAUUAACUACUGGGAAUCCCUUUCCAUGCAAAAUUUUAUGACAUCAGUCUUUUUUUAAUUAGAUAUUUUUCUUUAUUUACAUUUCAAAUCUUA